UAGACAUGUUGUUAGUAAGUUUAUGUCAGUCUCUGUUAAUUCCAAGUAUACACGGUCUGUAGUAGUAGUAGUAGUCUAUACUUAAACCUUAAGACUUGCUUACUUACUGGCAUCAGUAGUACGACUAAAUUCAAAAUCUAUUCUGGUAUUCAUAUGUGACUCAAGGAACUUGAAUUUCAAACUUAGUGGUCUACACUUCUCCUGAAUCUUGUUUCGAAUUCUUUUUUUCUUUUUCUUCUGUUUUUGUCUUCAUCUUUGGAUGCUUUUUUUUCAUUCUUCUUUAUAAGUAAAGUGUUUUGUACAUUUUGAAAGCUUCAAUUACCAUCGUUUGUUUAUAUGGAAACUUACAGAGAAAGUACUACAUUUUUAAAGUUUCAAAUACCAGUUACAGUUUCCAGUUUCAUUCAUUUUUUUGUUUUGCUAAAAUGAACCAAUGAACAAAAAUUGGAUCAUACGUGCAUAUAUUUGAAUUCUCAGACUUCAAAAUGAAUCAAUGCUUUAUUUAUGUGGCAAUCUAUACAAUUGCAGGUGUUUAUGCGUCCAUGGUGUCGUUACAACAUUUGUAAUUUUCUGUUUCAGAUUUUAAUUUCUCUUUUUUCCAUGCAUGGAGAGAUACUGGAAUCAACACUCAGUGCGCUGCCUAACCUUUUGUAUACUGCAUAAUGCAACCAAGAUGGUGUUUUCGUGGUGCAGGUUUUCAGCUAUAUAUAUGGUCAUGGACUCUUGCAUGGUUGCAUAUGAUCAUACAGAACAGAGGCCUCUGUUCCUAAAGUUACAGGAUAAAAUUUCACCAACAUUAGCGAGUCUUAUUGGAUAGCAUGUCACUUACCUAUGCUUAUUGCAUAGCAUGUCAUUUACCUGUGCUUUUGCAAUGUCCAGAGUCGAGAUUGAAAAAGAAACGCAUGCACAUAAUGUGCAUGUGGUCUACAACUUAUUGUUUUGGACAAAAUGGUAAGCUAUGAUCCCUUUAACUUGUUUUCUUGACACUCAUCAUCAAAUCUGAGUUAUAUUCUUAUAAGUUUUGCAUCACAUUGUCAAUUUGUUUGUUGUGGUGCAGUUCAAUGAGGAAAAGUGCUUUAAAUCAACUUCUAGAGGUGCAGAAGCACUUUUCGUAGCUACUCAAGCCCUGCAUCUUGUCUCCCGCAA